rnacentral:rRNA from 1 species
AACGCUGGCGGCGUGCUUAACACAUGCAAGUCGAACGGAAAGGCCCUGCUUUUGUGGGGUGCUCGAGUGGCGAACGGGUGAGUAACACGUGAGUAACCUGCCCUUGACUUUGGGAUAACUUCAGGAAACUGGGGCUAAUACCGGAUAGGAGCUCCUGCUGCAUGGUGGGGGUUGGAAAGUUUCGGCGGUUGGGGAUGGACUCGCGGCUUAUCAGCUUGUUGGUGGGGUAGUGGCUUACCAAGGCUUUGACGGGUAGCCGGCCUGAGAGGGUGACCGGCCACAUUGGGACUGAGAUACGGCCCAGACUCCUACGGGAGGCAGCAGUGGGGAAUAUUGCACAAUGGGCGGAAGCCUGAUGCAGCAACGCCGCGUGCGGGAUGACGGCCUUCGGGUUGUAAACCGCUUUCGCCUGUGACGAAGCGUGAGUGACGGUAAUGGGUAAAGAAGCACCGGCUAACUACGUGCCAGCAGCCGCGGUGAUACGUAGGGUGCGAGCGUUGUCCGGAUUUAUUGGGCGUAAAGGGCUCGUAGGUGGUUGAUCGCGUCGGAAGUGUAAUCUUGGGGCUUAACCCUGAGCGUGCUUUCGAUACGGGUUGACUUGAGGAAGGUAGGGGAGAAUGGAAUUCCUGGUGGAGCGGUGGAAUGCGCAGAUAUCAGGAGGAACACCAGUGGCGAAGGCGGUUCUCUGGGCCUUUCCUGACGCUGAGGAGCGAAAGCGUGGGGAGCGAACAGGCUUAGAUACCCUGGUAGUCCACGCUGUAAACGGUGGGUACUAGGUGUGGGGUCCAUUCCACGGGUUCCGUGCCGUAGCUAACGCUUUAAGUACCCCGCCUGGGGAGUACGGCCGCAAGGCUAAAACUCAAAGGAAUUGACGGGGCCCCGCACAAGCGGCGGAGCAUGCGGAUUAAUUCGAUGCAACGCGUAGAACCUUACCUGGGUUUGACAUGGAUCGGGAGUGCUCAGAGAUGGGUGUGCCUCUUUUGGGGUCGGUUCACAGGUGGUGCAUGGCUGUUGUCAGCUCGUGUCGUGAGAUGUUGGGUUAAGUCCCGCAACGAGCGCAACCCUUGUUCACUGUUGCCAGCACGUUAUGGUGGGGACUCAGUGGAGACCGCCGGGGUCAACUCGGAGGAAGGUGGGGAUGACGUCAAGUCAUCAUGCCCCUUAUGUCCAGGGCUUCACGCAUGCUACAAUGGCUGGUACAGAGAGUGGCGAGCCUGUGAGGGUGAGCGAAUCUCGGAAAGCCGGUCUCAGUUCGGAUUGGGGUCUGCAACUCGACCUCAUGAAGUCGGAGUCGCUAGUAAUCGCAGAUCAGCAACGCUGCGGUGAAUACGUUCCCGGGGCUUGUACACACCGCCCGUCAAGUCAUGAAAGUUGGUAACACCCGAAGCCGGUGGCCUAACCGUUGUGGGGGAGCCGUCGAAGGUGGGACUG